rnacentral:lncRNA from 1 species
CUAGAAAAUAAUGCAAGGUUGAGUUUUUUAAUAUUUUACUUUUUUAACUGCUUGAGGUACUUUGAACUCGGAAAUGGAGCUAAAAGACGUCAAUAAGAAAGAGGAGGCAAAGCAUUCGGAAAUUGUGUAAAUUAGGUCAUGUAUACACCCACGGUCUGAUUGGCUUCCACAUCUACUCAGCAACACCCCAACUUCAGACCAUCUACAUACAAGCCUGAAACCAGUCCUAACAGGGACACCCCAGGAAUGGAUGACAAAUUAAUGUGCUACUUAUCCUCGCCAACUCUUCCAGCUGGCUUAAUUCUCAUCAGCCACUAUAAUUUAUUAACAGUGAGGUGAUGCAGACUGAAGCUGACCACUCAUUGCCAGCUACUAAAGGUUUGAGAUCAUAAUGGAUAUAGUCAUCUCCAAAGCAUAAGAAACAGCAGAGUCGGAAAAGGUGUGUACUGAUAAAUGUUAAGCAACCUCCGAGGAAAAAAAAUGUACAUGUGACACACAUACAUCAUAUACAUGUGUCAUUAUAAAGACAGUUUGAUCUGCAUUAUCAGCAUUUUCUUUAUUACUCUCUUACUUCAUUUUCUUCAUUACUCUAGACAAG